rnacentral:siRNA from 1 species
GCUCGAGGAACGGUUCAAGCAUC